CCUACGGGUGGCAGCAGUGGGGAAUAUUGGACAAUGGGGGCAACCCUGAUCCAGCCAUGCCGCGUGUGUGAAGAAGGCCCUCGGGUUGUAAAGCACUUUCAGUGAGGAAGAACGCCUGGUGGUUAAUACCCAUCAGGAAAGACAUCACUCACAGAAGAAGCACCGACUAACUCCGUGCCAGCAGCCGCGGUAAUACGGAGGGUGCGAGCGUUAAUCGGAAUUACUGGGCGUAAAGCGCGCGUAGGUGGCUUGAUAAGCCGGUUGUGAAAGCCCCGGGCUCAACCUGGGAACGGCAUCCGGAACUGUCAAGUUAGAGUGCAGGAGAGGAAGGUAGAAUUCCCGGUGUAGCGGUGAAAUGCGUAGAGAUCGGGAGGAAUACCAGUGGCGAAGGCGGCCUUCUGGACUGACACUGACACUGAGGUGCGAAAGCGUGGGUAGCAAACAGGAUUAGAUACCCUAGUAGUC
rnacentral:rRNA from 1 species